UUUCCCACCUCUCAACAUUCAAGUAAACUGAUCCAAAAUUUCGUGGAAGUAACAAACUCUUCUCCGCUGAUAGCAUUUUCCAUCUCCCUUUUCCUCCUUGUGGUGUACGGCGUACGCCGUUCUCAAAGCGCGUCACCUCUUUCGCUCCCCUGCCCCAGAUUUCGCUUUCAAAACUGAUAACUCUCUGCAGACCUCUGUUUCUCUUUCGAUUUGGAUUCUUUGAAGACUUUCUUUAUCCAUUGGGCUGGGGAUGGCGAGGACAGGCAACAAGAACGUACAAGCCAAGCUGGUACUUCUUGGGGACAUGGGAACCGGAAAAACAAGUUUGGUAUUGAGAUUUGUCAAAGGCCAAUUCUUUGAGUACCAGGAGUCAACUAUUGGAGCAGCCUUCUUCACUCAGGUCUUGUCAUUAAAUGAAGCCACUAUAAAAUUUGAUAUAUGGGACACAGCAGGGCAAGAGCGUUACCAUAGUUUGGCUCCUAUGUACUAUCGUGGUGCAGCUGCAGCUGUUGUGGUUUAUGACAUUACAAGCAUGGAUUCAUUUGUACGGGCCAAAAAGUGGGUUCAAGAAUUGCAAAGACAAGGAAAUCCAAAUUUGAUAAUGUUCUUGGUUGCCAACAAGGCUGACUUGGAAGAGAAGAGAAAAGUGGCGGUCGAGGAAGGUGAGCAGUAUGCUAAUGAAAAUGGCUUGGUUUUUCUUGAAACAUCUGCAAAAUCUGCACAGAAUGUGAACGAGCUCUUCUAUGAGAUAGCAAAGAGAUUGGCAAAAGCUAACCCUUCACGCACAGCUGGAAUGAAAUUACAGAGUAGAUCACAAGGAAGUCGACGAAGGCUGUUUUGUUGCUCUGCAUGAUAUCCAUACUUGCUAUAUCCUACCGUAUGUAAUCCUUGCAAUCUUUUGUACAGAAAAUCAGUUUUCCUCGGCCAUCACUUUGUAAGGGCGUCACUCAAUCAGAUGGAAAUUCAUUGUGGCUAAUCAAAGGUUGAAGACCGAUUUGCAAAGCUGCUCAAACAUGUUGUAAGAAUAUUUGUUUUAUGUACAUCUCAAGAUCUCAUUAGAGAGAGGUAAUGACACAUUCAAACAUCCUACAUACUCCUGUAUGUGCGAGACAAUGAUUAUCACUCAAAAGUGAAUUAGACACCGGAAUAAGAAGUGUCAUAGCUAAAGAGAAAAAAAAAACACUUGGUU